rnacentral:tRNA from 1 species
GACCGCGUAGCUCAGUUGGCGGAGCAUCGGGCUAGUAUUCCAAAGGUCGUAGGUUCGAUUCCCACCGUGGUCA